rnacentral:rRNA from 1 species
ACCUAGGCGACGAUCUGUACUUGGUCUGAGAGGAUGACCAGGCACACUGGAACUGAGACACGGUCCAGACUCCUACGGGAGGCAGCAGUGGGGAAUUUUCCGCAAUGGGCGCAAGCCUGACGGAGCAAUACCGCGUGAGGGAGGAAGGCUCUUGGGUUGUAAACCUCUUUUAUCAGGGAAGAAAAGAUGACGGUACCUGAUGAAUCAGCAUCGGCUAACUCCGUGCCAGCAGCCGCGGUAAUACGGGGGAUGCAAGCGUUAUCCGGAAUUAUUGGGCGUAAAGCGUCCGUAGGUGGUUUCACCAGUCUGUUGUCAAAGCGUGCGGCUCAACCGCAUACGGGCAAUGGAAACUGUGAGACUAGAGUGCGAUAGGGGUCACAGGAAUUCCCAGUGUAGCGGUGAAAUGCGUAGAUAUUGGGAAGAACACCAGCGGCGAAAGCGUGUGACUGGGUCUGCACUGACACUGAGGGACGAAAGCUAGGGGAGCGAAAGGGAUUAGAUACCCCUGUAGUCCUAGCCGUAAACGAUGACAACUAGGUGUGGUUCGUAUCGACCCGAGCCGUGCCGUAGCCAACGCGUUAAGUUGUCCGCCUGGGGAGUACGCACGCAAGUGUGAAACUCAAAGGAAUUGACGGGGGCCCGCACAAGCGGUGGAGUAUGUGGUUUAAUUCGAUGCAACGCGAAGAACCUUACCAAGGCUUGACAUCCUGCGAACUUUUCUGAAAGGAGAAGGUGCCUUCGGGAGCGCAGAGACAGGUGGUGCAUGGCUGUCGUCAGCUCGUGUCGUGAGAUGUUGGGUUAAGUCCCGCAACGAGCGCAACCCACGUUUUUAGUUGCCAGCAUUGAGUUGGGCACUCUAGAGAGACUGCCGGUGACAAACCGGAGGAAGGUGUGGAUGACGUCAAGUC